rnacentral:tRNA from 1 species
GGGGAUGUGGCUUAGUGGUAGAGUGCUUGCCUAGCAUGCAUGAGGCCCUAGGUUCGAUUCCUCAGUACCA